AGACAAAGACAGACAGACAGAGAAAAUGAGAUCAACAAGCACCUUGUCUGAGUCACUGAAGUUGGUUUGAUGGGCAAACCAAGAAAAAACAUCAAUUCAAUUCACUUUCUGAAUAGAGGGUAGCCACUCUCAAUACUCCAGUCUAUCCUUCAAUUAGAAAAAGCAGGACUCAGCAGGUGUCCUUAAAGGCCUCCUAGCCAUGAGGAGGAUAUGUGGUCAUCAACUAUAAUUUAAGACAUGACAGAAUGGACACACGGCAUAGACGCAUUAUCGUGUGACAACAGAUGGCGCUGUUUCCUUCCUAAAUGGCUGAUGAAAUUCACAACAUUUGGAAAGUAGGAUCCCUACACAGUCUGUGACAUUUAGCAUUUUCACACAUCCAAGUUUUCCUAGCACAGAUGCUUCAAGCUGGCUGGGAUUAUGCAGGACAACAUGUACAGAAGCGUUUAAUUCCACGCGCUCCAAACACAUAACUGCAUUACUAAAGUGGCUUGCUGUCACUUCACACAGCUUUCUGUUAAUUGAUUGUGUAACUUCUGGCAUAUCAUAACACACAGCUAUAACCCAAAUUGACCCUCAGAAAAAAAUAAAAUAAAUAAUUGAUAGAAAAGUCACGUCUCAAGGACUAGCGAGUACGCUUAUCUGUGUUUAAGCAUUCAACAUAGCUUCAGCCUUGGGAGAGAUAACAUUAAGCGGUAUCAGUGUCUAAUGUGUCUGUGUUUUAUCCAGACUUGUCGCCUGCUUCAAUCACGUGGGGACUGAGUGUUAUAACACUGUUGGUUCUCAUUCUGGAGGUGUGAGGAAAACACUGGCAAACAUAACUGUACGACACCAUGUGCUUGUGUACCUGACGUUGUCAUGCUUCUGGAUGUAGAUCUUGUGGAACAUCAUAUCCUCUUUCUUGACGUUGAUGUCUGCCUUCAUCUCCAUGGCAACGUGCCUUGGCAACACAGAAAGCAGCAGGCGCUCCUGGAUCAGACCCCCACAGCACUCCAUUGCAGUCCGCUGGGGGUUCCAGAACCCCAAUUUGAAAACUCAUUGCCUACAGUGGUGCAGUAACCGAGCAGAUUUCAGCAAAGCCCUGACUCACACUGCGACUAAUUCUGUGUGACUAAUUCUGCAAACUGAAUCAGAGUGAAUACACCUCCGAAGUGCAGAGAAUUAAAUGACAGGGGUGCUAACCUACAGUAAAAACUCUCCUGUCAUUCCACACCUGAAGCCUUCUGAUGCUUUGUUGAAAACCAGACUAGAAAUUUAAGAAGUUAUUUACUGAAACAAUUUCCUGGCUAACCUACAGUAAAAACUACUCCUGUCAUUCCACACCUGAAGCCUUCUGAUGCUUUGUUUGUAAAACCAGACUGAAAUUUAAGAAGUUAUUUACUGAAACAAUUUCCUGACUGCUUUUGUCACCAUUUUCAUUGGAUGUAAAAUAGCUGUUUGAACACUCUGCUAAACAUAUUUUUUAGAAACAGCCAUUUGAGUUCUAAAUGACAUGAGGGUGAGAAAAUUAUGACAGAUUCUUAAUUUUUAUAAAGUACUUAAAGGGAUGAUUCCCCUGCAGUAACUGGUCCCCAUUGACUUCCAUAGUAUGAAAAAAACACUAUGCAUGACAAUGGGGACCAGCAACUGAAGGUGAACUAUCCCAUUAAAAAUCAUUCCAUUAAUCAAAAUCCACAAAAGCCCUGUACAUACAGCCGUUAUAGCAUAAGGAUCAACUCUCUAUCUUUCAGUCCUGAUCUCAGGAGCCAUUGUACAGAGCAAACAAACAAGAUCAAAGGAAAUUAGAGCAGGAGGAGUGGUGGAGAACGAGUGAGAAUGAAAAAAGAGAGGAGGCACAACAUCUAAAUGAAUAGAUAAGAAGGCAAAACAGUCCGUUUCUGGGAAGUCGCAGUUGAGCGAAUGUUUUGGUUUCAAAGGGCUGUUACAUAAGAAAGCCAAAGCCCUACUCGCACUGGAACUCGGCCCAGAAACGAAACAUUAUAUACACACAUACAUGCAGGACCUUACCCUUAGAUUUAGUUAAAGGUCCAUUGAGGCCUAUAUCCAGAAUUUAAUCAUCAUGUUUAUUUGAAGGGAAUGUUAGAUGCUGCUGGAGUGUUUUGCAGUAUGAAUGAGAAAGCUUUUAAGGUUUAAGGGUGGUCUGUGAACUGCCUUACCAAGAAAAUUCCUGGAAAGACAAACUUAUAAAAACAUCUUUGACCUCAAAUGAACUUGCCAUAUCUACUGAGGUCUCAUCCCUACAUAAAUAACAGCAGUCAAAUGCAGGCAUAUGAAAUGCGAUUUUACUACCGAUCAUUUUAAAGUAUGAUUUAAGGCAAAAAAAAUUGUAGUAAAUAAAUUUAUGAGGAUUUAAAGUCCACUCAUAAACAUUUGAAAAAGCAUUUGUGCAAGCGAAAUGAGGUUAAGGCCAAAGUUUGCUGUAUCUUAAGACAAAUGCAGGCAGGAAAAGAAAGCCCACUAUGCGGGUCAUGACGAAUCAAAGUCACUUCCUCCAUGUUCCACUAUGGGAGUGUUUAUUUCUUUAUCAUUUAUAACAGUUUGAGACCCCAGGCCCCUGAUAAAUUACCAUGUCACCCUGAAGAAAGAGAAAAUUUACAAAUAGGCCCCAGAGUCAGUCAACUGGUUCUAGACUAUGAAAAGUGCCCUCAGCAUGGCAAAAGAUGCAUUCGCCUAUUAUAGCACGAUAAUUAUCUCAUCAAAACAAACAGCUGUGAUUUAGACAUAUUCAGCAUUAGUACAAUAGGCUUGAUGCCUUUGGGCUCAGGACAUAUGACAGCUGUAUACUAAUGAUCACAAAAAGAAAGCCAAGGGAAAACAAACUAGGAUCCAAACAAACUCACAAAUUAGCACUCACCCAAAAAGCUUCAGCGCAUGAGACUGAAAACUGAAGAUGGGUUUAUUUCACCCAUUUGUUUUAAUGGUUAAAGGGAUUGUUCAACCCAAAAAUAGAAAAUUCUGUCAUUAUCUACUCACCCUUAGAUCUACUCACCCUUAGCUUAUUUGUUUUGUUUUGUUUUCCAGUGGAACACAAAGACAACGUUUUUGAAUAAUCGCUAUGCAGCUUUUGCAAUAACAGCAGCUCAUAGUGGACUAUCAAACUAAAAACGACAAACAAACUCCACAAAAAGCAACAUAAAAAGUCAAAUAAAGUCAUAUCAUAAAACUAAAUUAAAAGUGCACAUUAUAUGUUAUGAUGCCUAAAUGUAGUUGUAGCAGUUAAAAGUUUAGACAAAACAGGUAUUCUUUAGACAAAAUAGUAUAGAAGCUUAAUAUCUUGUCCAUAACAUGAAAAUAAAUGAUACAUUUUCUGGGGGUCAGACAAUUAUAUAUAGGAUAUUAUAUAUACAGCUUUGCAAUCAAACAUUUUUAAAAUAUAUAUAAAAUGUAUAUAUAUAUAUAUAUACACAUUGUUUUUACUGUUAUUUUUGAUGCCAUAAAUGCUAGACUUGGUGAACAUAAGAGACUUCAUUCAAAACAUUAAAGUGUCCCUAUUAAGCCAUUUUUAAGGUUCCUAAUUUUGUUUGGGAGCCUCCUACAACAGGUUUACAUGCAUGGAAGGUGAAAAAAAAACUUUCAUUUUCUCACAAUAUACAUUCAGUUUCACCUCAGUUCUCAAUGAUUCAUAAACGAUUCGUUCAAAGCAGUUCAAAGAAUCAGUCUCUCUAAACCCCUCCUUUCCGAGGGGCCUACACUGAUCUGAUUGAUCAGAUGGCAGUCCUUUGCGAUUGGUCUACUGCGUAAAGAGCAUGCUAUAGUGUUCAAGGACAGGUUAUGUAGAA
rnacentral:lncRNA from 1 species